rnacentral:rRNA from 1 species
AUACGGAGGGUGCAAGCGUUACUCGGAAUCACUGGGCGUAAAGCGCGCGCAGGCGGGCUGAUAAGUUGGAUGUGAAAGCCUACGGCUCAACCGUAGAACUGCAUCCAAAACUGUCAGUCUAGAGUCUGGGAGGGGAAGAUGGAAUUAGUUGUGUAGGGGUAAAAUCCGUAGAGAUAACUAGGAAUACCAAAAGCGAAGGCGAUCUUCUGGAACAGUACUGACGCUGAGGCGCAAAAGCGUGGGGAGCAAACAGGAUUAGAAACCCUAGUAGUCC